AACGAACGCUGGCGGCAGGCUUAACACAUGCAAGUCGAGCGCCCCGCAAGGGGAGCGGCAGACGGGUGAGUAACGCGUGGGAGUCUACCCAUCUCUACGGAAUAACGCAUGGAAACGUGUGCUAAUACCGUAUACGUCCUUCGGGAGAAAGAUUUAUCGGAGAUGGAUGAGCCCGCGUUGGAUUAGCUAGUUGGUGGGGUAAAGGCCUACCAAGGCGACGAUCCAUAGCUGGUCUGAGAGGAUGAUCAGCCACACUGGGACUGAGACACGGCCCCGACUCCUACGGGAGGCAGCAGUGGGGAAUAUUGGACAAUGGGCGCAAGCCUGAUCCAGCCAUGCCGCGUGAGUGAUGAAGGCCCUAGGGUUGUAAAGCUCUUUCACCGGUGAAGAUAGUGACGGUAACCGGAGAAGAAGCCCCGGCUAACUUCGUGCCAGCAGCCGCCGUAACAC
rnacentral:rRNA from 1 species